ACUUUGCUUCUUCCCGCUGAAGAGGUUUACAACCCGAAGGCCGUCAUCCCUCACGUGGCGGUCGCAUGCAUCAGGCUUUCGCCCAUUGUUGCAAUAUUCCCCACUGCUGCCUCCCGUAGGAGUCUGGGCCGUGUCUCAGUCCCAGUGUGGCCGGUCGCCCUCUCAGGCCGGCUACCCGUCGUCGCCUUGGUAGGCCAUUACCCCACCAACAAGCUGAUAGGCCGCGGGCUCAUCCUUCACCGCCGGAGCUUUUAACCCCGUCCCAUGCGGGACAGAGUGUUAUCCGGUAUUAGACCCCGUUUCCAGGGCUUGUCCCAGAGUGAAGGGCAGAUUGCCCACGUGUUACUCACCCGUUCGCCACUAAUCCACCCCGAAAGGCUUCAUCGUUCGACUUGCAUGUGUUAAGCACGCCGCCAGCGUUCGUCCUGAGCCAGGAUCAAACUCUA
rnacentral:rRNA from 1 species